UACGUAGGGUGCAGGCGUUAAUCGGAAUUACUGGGCGUAAAGCGUGCGCAGGCGGUUUGUUAAGACAGGUGUGAAAUCCCCGGGCUUAACCUGGGAACUGCGCUUGUUACUGGCAGACUUGAGUGUGGCAGAGGGGGGUGGAAUUCCACGUGUAGCAGUGAAAUGCGUAGAGAUGUGGAGGAACACCAAUGGCGAAGGCAGCCCCCUGGGUCGAUACUGA
rnacentral:rRNA from 1 species